AAAACAAGCUUUUAAGAGCAGAUGGCGGAUGCCUUGCCAAAGAGAGGCGAUGAAGGACGUACUAGACUGCGAUAAGCUAUGCGGAGCUGUCAAGGAGCUUUGAUGCGUAGAUGUCCGAAUGGGGCAACCCAACUAAUAGAGAUAUUAGUUACUCUUUAACAGAGAGCGAACCUAGUGAAGUGAAACAUCUCAGUAACUAGAGGAAAAGAAAUCAACGAGAUUCCCUAAGUAGUGGCGAGCGAACGGGGAAAAGGGCAAACCGAGUGCUUGCAUUCGGGGUUGAGGACUGCAACAUCCAAGAGAACGCUUUAGCAGAGUUACCUGGAAAGGUAAGCCAUAGAAAGUGAUAGCCUUGUAUGCGACAAGGCGUUUUUAGGUAGCAGUAUCCAGAGUAGGCCAGGACACGAGGAAUCCAGGUUGAAGCCGGGGAGACCACUCUCCAACCCUAAAUACUACUCUUUGAGCGAUAGCGAACAAGUACCGUGAGGGAAAGGUGAAAAGAACCGCAGUGAGCGGAGUGAAAUAGAACCUGAAACCAUCUGCUUACAAUCAUUCAGAGCCCUAUGAUUUAUCAGGGUGAUGGACUGCCUUUUGCAUAAUGAUCCUGCGAGUUGUGGUAUCUGGCAAGGUUAAGCGAAUGCGAAGCCGUAGCGAAAGCGAGUCUUAAUAGGGCGAACAAGUCAGAUGCUGCAGACCCGAAGCUAAGUGAUCUAUCCAUGGCCAAGUUGAAACGCGUGUAAUAGCGCGUGGAGGACUGAACUCGUACCCAUUGAAACGGGUUGGGAUGAGCUGUGGAUAGGGGUGAAAGGCCAAACAAACUUAGUGAUAGCUGGUUCUCUUCGAAAUAUAUUUAGGUAUAGCCUCAAGUGAUAAUAAAAGGGGGUAGAGCGCUGAUUGGGCUAGGGCUGCUCGCCGCGGUACCAAACCCUAUCAAACUUCGAAUACCUUUUAUCGUAUCUUGGGAGUCAGGCGGUGGGUGAUAAAAUCAAUCGUCAAAAGGGGAACAACCCAGACUACCAAAUAAGGUCCCUAAGUUCUAUUCUGAGUGGAAAAAGAUGUGUGGCUACUCAAACAACCAGGAGGUUGGCUUAGAAGCAGCCAUCCUUUAAAGAAAGCGUAACAGCUCACUGGUCUAGUGGUCAUGCGCUGAAAAUAUAACGGGGCUAAGAUAGACACCGAAUUUGUAGAUUGUGUUUGACACAGUGGUAGAAGAGCGUUCAUACCAGCGUUGAAGGUAUACCGGUAAGGAGUGCUGGAGCGGUAUGAAGUGAGCAUGCAGGAAUGAGUAACGAUAAGAUAUAUGAGAAUUGUAUCCGCCGUAAAUCUAAGGUUUCCUACGCGAUGGUCGUCAUCGUAGGGUUAGUCGGGUCCUAAGCCGAGUCCGAAAGGGGUAGGUGAUGGCAAAUUGGUUAAUAUUCCAAUACCGACUAUGGAGCGUGAUGGGGGGACGCAUAGGGUUAAGCGAGCUAGCUGAUGGAAGCGCUAGUCUAAGGGCGUAGAUUGGAGGGAAGGCAAAUCCACCUCUGUAUUUGAAACCCAAACAGGCUCUUUGAGUCCUUUUAGGACAAAGGGAGAAUCGCUGAUACCGUCGUGCCAAGAAAAGCCUCUAAGCAUAUCCAUAGUCGUCCGUACCGCAAACCGACACAGGUAGAUGAGAUGAGUAUUCUAAGGCGCGUGAAAGAACUCUGGUUAAGGAACUCUGCAAACUAGCACCGUAAGUUCGCGAUAAGGUGUGCCACAGCAAUGUGGUCUCAGCAAAGAGUCCCUCCCGACUGUUUACCAAAAACACAGCACUUUGCCAACUCGUAAGAGGAAGUAUAAGGUGUGACGCCUGCCCGGUGCUCGAAGGUUAAGAGGAUGCGUCAGUCGCAAGAUGAAGCGUUGAAUUGAAGCCCGAGUAAACGGCGGCCGUAACUAUAACGGUCCUAAGGUAGCGAAAUUCCUUGUCGGUUAAAUACCGACCUGCAUGAAUGGCGUAACGAGAUGGGAGCUGUCUCAACCAGAGAUUCAGUGAAAUUGUAGUGGAGGUGAAAAUUCCUCCUACCCGCGGCAAGACGGAAAGACCCCGUGGACCUUUACUACAACUUAGCACUGCUAAUGGGAAUAUCAUGCGCAGGAUAGGUGGGAGGCUUUGAAGUAAGGGCUUUGGCUCUUAUGGAGCCAUCCUUGAGAUACCACCCUUGAUGUUUCUGUUAGCUAACUGGCCUGUGUUAUCCACAGGCAGGACAAUGCUUGGUGGGUAGUUUGACUGGGGCGGUCGCCUCCUAAAAAGUAACGGAGGCUUGCAAAGGUUGGCUCAUUGCGGUUGGAAAUCGCAAGUUGAGUGUAAUGGCACAAGCCAGCCUGACUGUAAGACAUACAAGUCAAGCAGAGACGAAAGUCGGUCAUAGUGAUCCGGUGGUUCUGUGUGGAAGGGCCAUCGCUCAAAGGAUAAAAGGUACCCCGGGGAUAACAGGCUGAUCUCCCCCAAGAGCUCACAUCGACGGGGAGGUUUGGCACCUCGAUGUCGGCUCAUCGCAUCCUGGGGCUGGAGCAGGUCCCAAGGGUAUGGCUGUUCGCCAUUUAAAGCGGUACGCGAGCUGGGUUCAGAACGUCGUGAGACAGUUCGGUCCCUAUCUGCCGUGGGCGUAGGAAAGUUGAGGAGAGCUGUCCCUAGUACGAGAGGACCGGGAUGGACGUGUCACUGGUGCACCAGUUGUUCUGCCAAGAGCAUCGCUGGGUAGCUACACACGGAUGUGAUAACUGCUGAAAGCAUCUAAGCAGGAAGCCAACUCCAAGAUAAACUUUCCCUGAAGCUCGCACAAAGACUAUGUGCUUGAUAGGGUAGAUGUGUAAGCGCAGUAAUGCGUUUAGCUGACUACUACUAAUAGAGCGUUUGGCUUGUUUUU
rnacentral:rRNA from 1 species